rnacentral:rRNA from 1 species
UACGUAGGGUGCGAGCGUUGUCCGGAAUUACUGGGCGUAAAGAGCUCGUAGGUGGUUUGUCGCGUUGUUCGUGAAAUCUCACGGCUUAACUGUGAGCGUGCGGGCGAUACGGGCAGACUAGAGUACUGCAGGGGAGACUGGAAUUCCUGGUGUAGCGGUGGAAUGCGCAGAUAUCAGGAGGAACACCAAUAGCGAAGGCAGCUCGCUGGGACGUUACUGACACUGAGGCGCGAAAGCGUGGGGAGCGAACAGGAUUAGAACGUACCGACGUAGUCCAAGACCAGUCUCGU